rnacentral:rRNA from 1 species
UACGUAGGCAGCAAGCGUUGUUCGGAAUUACUGGGCGUAAAGAGGGUGUAGGCGGUGCUCUAAGUCUGUUGUGAAAUCUCCCGGCUUAACUGGGAGGGUGCGGCGGAGACUGGAGUGCUAGAGUGUGGGAGAGGUAAGCGGAAUUCCUGGUGUAGCGGUGAAAUGCGUAGAUAUCAGGAGGAACACCUGUGGCGAAGGCGACUACCUGGCCUGUUCUUGACGCUGAGGCGCGAAAGCUAGGGGAGCAAACGGG